rnacentral:rRNA from 1 species
CUACGGGACGCUGCAGUGGGGAAUAUUGCACAAUGGAGGAAACUCUGAUGCAGCAACGCCGCGUGGAGGAUGACACUUUUCGGAGCGUAAACUCCUUUUAUAUAGGAAGAAGAUGACGGUACUAUAUGAAUAAGCGCCGGCUAACUCCGUGCCAGCAGCCGCGGUAAUACGGAGGGCGCAAGCGUUACUCGGAAUCACUGGGCGUAAAGAGCGUGUAGGCGGAUUAAAAAGUCAGAAGUGAAAUCCUAUAGCUUAACUAUAGAACUGCUUCUGAAACUCCUAAUCUAGAAUAUGGGAGAGGUAGAUGGAAUUUCUGGUGUAGGGGUAAAAUCCGUAGAGAUCAGAAGGAAUACCGAUUGCGAAGGCGAUUUACUAGAACAUUAUUGACGCUGAGACGCGAAAGCGUGGGGAGCAAACAGGAUUAGAUACCCCGGUAGUC